CACACGGAAAGAGGAGAUACAAAGGGAA
rnacentral:piRNA from 1 species